rnacentral:tRNA from 1 species
GCCUGGGUGGCUCAGUCGGUUGAGCGUCUGACUUUGGCUCAUGUCAUGAUCUUGUGGUUCGUGGGUUUGAGCCCCGCAUCAGGUU